UUGAUAAUAUCUAAAUUGUAGACACAUGUGUUUUGAAUUUGAUUUUAUAUAUACAAUGUUUGAUUCAUUUAGCAUUGUCAUUGUUUUCACAUUGAUUUAUAUUUUCGUUUCAUUCUGCAGGCAGGUGUUCUGAAUUUAUAUAAUGGACGAUGUUUGGUUCAUUUAGUAUUAUACAAUGGUUUCGCUUUAAUAAUAUUUUCGGUUCAUUCUGCAGUCCAGUUUGUUGUAGAUGAACAAUUUGUCCCAAAGGUUGGGAUGACUUUCAUGACACUAGAAGAAGCUGAAAAGUUCUACAAAAAUUAUUCUAAACUUGCCAGUUUUUCUACCAAAAUAAGGAACACGACUCGGAAGGGAGACGAAAUUAAGAAUCAACUAAUUGUAUGCAGUAGAGAGGGGAAGUGGAAAUCCAAGAUAUUUCCAACUCUGAAGACAAACCCCUUAGCCGGCAUAAACUGUCUAGCCAGGAUUUACGUACACAUAUUGAAUGACGUCAGUCUUUGGACAAUUUCCAAAGUUGUUUUGAAUCAUUCACACCCCUGCUAUCCAGACCGAGCAGAGAGGCUCAAACAACACAGGGAGUUAAGCAUGUUUGUGCGACGCACCAUCGAAAACAACGGGAAAGCCGGAAUCAGACCGAGCAAAACAUACCAAUCAUUCGUAGCAGCAGCGGGCAGUCAUCAGGAACUAAGUUUUAUAAAAAAAAACGUGAGAAAUUACAUCACAAGAGAAGUAUGAAAUAUUUUCGAACAAGAUGAUGCCAAAGAAUUUGGGAAGUACCUAUUAAGAAUGAAAGAGAAGAAUAAAAAUUUCUCUUUCGAGCUCAACUUCGAAGGCGAUCACUCCAUAAAAAAAUGCAUUCUGGGCCGAUGCAAGAAGCAUGCUGCAUGCGAGUAUUUUGGAGACGUUUUAUUUGACACCACUUACAAUACAAACAGGUAUUCGGUUCACCGAAAUUAAGUCUUAGGUUCACACAGGCAACACAUUUCAGUUCAUAACUGUUGCCAGUGUCCAUUUUUGCAGGUAUAAUCUGGUUUUUGAUUCUUUUGUGGGCAUGAAUCACCACGGUCAGUCGACACUUCUCGGAUGCGCUCUGAUGAAAAAUGAGGACAUUCAAUUAUUCAAAUGGCUAUUCGAGUGUUGGCUCCGUUGCAUGGGAGGGAAAGCACCAAAAGGCAUUCUCAUCGACCAAUGCGCAUCGAUGCAAAGGGCCAUCGAGAUGUGCAUGCUAACAACAAUUUACCGGUGGUGCAUCUGGCAUAUCAUGAAGAAGAUCACAAACAAAUUAAACAGCUACAAGUGACACGAAGAAAUCGAACAAGAGAUGAGUCACAUCGUUUGAAACUCGUUCACAAAAGACGCAUUCGACAGAAACUGGAACGAUUUUGUCACAAAGUUUGGCAUCGGAAGCAAUAAGUGGCUCUCAGAGCUACACGAAGAUCGCCAUUUAUGGAUUUCAGUUUACCUAGAUCACUACUUUUGGGCCAGAAUGAGAAACACACAAAGGAGCGAGAAUAUGCACGCAUUUUUCAACAAGUUCAUCACACGGAACAGCUCCUUGAUUCAAUUUGUGAAGCAAUACGAUAAUUGCCUAGCAAGCAGAGAGCAAAGAGAGAGAGAAUUUGAUGCUGCAGAUUUUUACACCGGAAUACCGUGCGCAACAAAAUCGACAAUAGAUGCUCAAUUUCAGCAUGUAUAUACCCACUAGAAGUUCAGAAAAGUUCAAGCACAAUUCAGAGGAAAGGUGAACUGCAUCACAAGAUCAAUGCAUUCCACCAUAGGUUUUACGACAUACGAAGUCGUAGAGUAAGUUUCUAACUCCACAUUCAACAGGUUUUUCGUCACCUACGACGUAGUAUCACAAGAAGUAAAGUGCAUGUGCCUGUUGUUCGAGUCAAGGGGCAUACUUUGCCGCUAUUCCUUGAGCAUCUUAAGCUUUGAGCGAGUAGAUAAAGUGACACUGAAAUAUAUACUGGAACGCUGGAGUAAUAACAUAAAGAGGACGCACACACACAUCAAGAGCAGUCAAGAUGAGCCUCUAUUGGAGCUGAGAAGCAAGAAAUUCCACGAUUUAGUGUUUCGGUCACACAAUAUUUGCGAAUUUGCGUCAGAGUCCGAGGAGCUGACCAAAAUUUUGCACCGGGCUUUUGACAAUGUCAUGGCCGAGAUACAAGAAUAUCAAGCGAAAAACAAAGGAAAAAGUUCGUUAUCUCACGAAGAAGUGACAUUGAGCGAUGUGAACAACCUUCAAAGCCCGCCAUGUGUGGGAACAGGAGGCCGCCCCAAGAACAGACCUGGAUCGAACUUGAAAAAAAAGGUCGCAAACGCCACAAAGAAAAAGAAAAAGCCAGCUCCAAGCGAGUUGAACCUUUUAGACGGUGGAUCAACGAUUCAAUCAAGCUCCAGCCUUUACAAUGCACAGGAUAUGAAUUAUCCCGGAGAGGAUUAUAGGAGUUUCAGUUUUUGUUAACAUAAAUUUUCAUUCAUGUAUCAACAAAUUUCGGUUCAUUAAAGUUA